CACGGGAGCGCGGGAUGGAUCCAUGACUUAAGCGUUCGACCGGACCGCGGUACCGACUGCCACGUCCGGUCUGUCCUUCAGCACCUCCAGGGACAGUGACCUCCCCGGGCAGCCCGUCCCAAUGCCCAGUCACUCUUUCUGCGAAUAAAUUCUUCCUAAUGUCCAACCUGAACCUCCCCGGCGCAGCCUUACGCUGUGUGCUCUCGUCCUGUCGCCUGGGAGAAGAGCCCGACCCCCCACCUGGCUACAACCUCCUUCCAGGAGAGAAACUUCCCCCGGCCGCUCUCCCCGGCCAUCCCCAGGCGGAGGGACAGGUGGGCAGGCAUGGGCCGGCCCGUGAGGGCGGUGCCGCCGCCACCCACCGCAGCACCCCGGUCCCGGCUGGCUCCGGGCGCCUGCGACGGAAAGUUCUGUCCUUGGGUCUGGAAUUGCGCGGGGCUGAGAGGAAAAACGCGUUAACUGCCUUGUUUAAGCAGAGGAAACUGACAGGUGAGCUUUGUUUAAAACCCGGCUUGUUCGCCGACUUGGACGAGCUGUGCGUUUUUUGAGGUACUGAGCACAUCGUGUUCCUGUAUCUGGAGAAAAACCGCCGUCAGAAGCGAUGUGGGUGUCUGGAAUAAACCAUGAUUAGUGCUGUCUGGCCCUUCGCUGCUGCUUUGGAGUAGUAAUUGCAGUUCUUGCCCAGCUGUGUAUUUUUGGCUGCUGUUUACGCUGUUGAAACUAUCUCUGGUAUGCUUGUAAUUGAUUUUUGAACAGUUCCGCUUCACAAUAACAGGGACAGGUGCGUUCCAGGGGGUUAGUUGUGAUUAUCCUGCUGUAAGCCAAGUUAUGUCCCUUUUUUCACUGCUGACUGAAUUCUGGUUGGGAGGUUAAGUGAGGAUCCUGCAGGGAGAGUAGCACAAGCAUUGGAAUAUUGUGGUUAUAGGGUGUGAGAGAGCACAAUGCACCCAGAAACUUGGCUGCUAAUCUCAGGUGUUUUUUCAGUUUAACAGUGCUCACUUUUUGGAGCUGAGAGCAGAAUUUACAAUUUCUGCCUCAUCACUGCUGUUGAGUGUAACAGCUGUGUUGUUCUCUCAUUCUGGUGAAUAUUUUAGAACCCAAAGGCAAAUGCACCCUAGUGCUCUCUCUGUGUGGGACAGUCCGAGUUUAGAGCCACAGACACCGAGUAAAACCUGAGUUCAGUCACGAAGGAAAAAGCAAGGACUCUAGGAAAAGAUAGUGCCUUUAAUCCAUGUUAUUAUGUGAAUGGGAAAGGGCUUCUUAUCUCUUUAGUCCAGGUCUACACUAAAUGUAGUCAAGUCUAGUUAAAACGCAGCAGCUUGGUGUGUUGAACUUUAUCCUGGAUGAAGGAGAAAGAUAAAUACCUUGUGCAUUUUAAUGCAUAUGUUUUUGUUAUACUGGUGUAAUGCACAUUUAGUUUUAUCAUUUUAAGAGGUCUGCCAUAAGUUUAGAAGCUGAUAAACCAUCUAGACCUCAAGAAUACCCCCAGACCAGGAGGGUAAAUAUCAGGUCUGCUAUAGUGACACAAUCCAAUUCACUGUAAUGUUUCAUAUUUAGAAUAGCAUUUCUAAUAACUUUUGGGCAGCAUUACAUAGAACAAUUACACAGUGCAUCUACAGAUGAAAAAGCCCUGUGUAUAAUAACUACCAAGUGGUCUUUUGGUACUGAAAUCACAUUAAUUGUAGCUGCACUACUGGGUUUUAAUGCUUGAGCAUGGGAAGGAAAAUAUGAAUUAAUUGUGUUACUGGAAGCAGAGAAAUCUGGUGCUGAAGGUAGUGCCUGUGUUGUGGGGGAACAGUGCUCUGCACUGGUAACUGGUACUGGCAGCAUAUGGUUUAUUUUAUCUAUCUAUGCUCCUACCUUAUGAUAUACAUUCCUGUUCUAAUCCUUUCUCUCUUUUUUUUUAUUUUUCAUUUAUUUGAAUGUCUUUCUACUAUCAUGUGAAUAAAGAAAUCUGAUCUUGAAGAUCUCAUGUCACAUUUAAUGAAGUGCAUUCCAGUGAUGGAGGAACUAAUCAAUAGGAAUACAAUCACUUCUGAAAGAAUUACUACAAGUAAGUUUCACAACCUUUUUUAUGCAUUGCAAAUAAUCAAGCAAAUAUUUCAUGUAUUGGCCAACGAUUUCUUUGCAUUUUGAAUUCACUGUGUGACUAUGUAAAUAAUUCCAGGUAAACUAGUUGGAGAAAAUGCAGUUGUAGUUCUGCAACAUUUAAUAUUGUAGAUUAAAAUAUAAUUACUUUUGAAUAUCUUAUCAGUUUAGAAGGAAAUCCUUCCAGGGAAAGAGGCAAGUUCUUUCUUAACAAGUGUUUCUAAACAAGUGUUACUAGAGAGGUUUAUGUACUGUGUUUAGCCUUUUAAUUUUUUAAGAUGUUCAGACAUUUGUGAAAUUCCAUGUAAAUCACACAGUCUAAGAGUGGUCAAGGGAAAAAAACACAGUGCUGACUUCAGGGGAGCAGAAUGAUGGUCCCCAAGGUGGGGUGUGAUACACUGCUGUACCACUGCAAUUCAUAAAGUCAGUAGCACAAUAUAGGACAAAUAUCUGAUUUGAAAUGCUAAUUACAUUUUACAUUUGGCUUUGUUUGCAGCUGAUUUCUUACUUCCUUGUACCUUAUUUGUUCUCCACCUUGCUCCUUAAUAGAAUAUCCAGGUAUGUAUCGUUGUCUGAAGACUGCUCAGAGAGAGCUGUGGUAACUCCCUUGCUGUCCCCUGCACAAGGCUUUGAUCCACGUGGGAUCCCAGCUGGGUAACAUUUCAGCAUGAGGGCAACAUAUCUGGUACAUUUCAAAAUCUGUUGUGUUUGCAAACUCCACUGUUGGUCUUGAAUGGCUUUUUGUCAUCAUAAAUCAAAAUAAUAGAAAAAAUUGCUGAUAGUGACAGGUCUUCCAUUUUGUGUCUUUCUCAGCUAGCUUGUGGACUGCAAAGAGGUUCCUGAAAUUCAUGCCUUGAGGUCUUCUGUAAGGAAAUUUGCAAUAAGAAAGGCUGCUUGUUUUAAUAACGCCAUCAUUUAGGAGGUGAUGUGACCGACUCGAAGAGUUGGUGACUGAUUUGCCUGUGUAAACUUGCUUAAAGCAGAGGCAGUGAAUUCAUGUUGAUUUCAGUUUGAGGAAUAUGUUUAUUUUAAGGGAAAUUACAUUGUUUUUCUUUCUGUGGUACACAAAAAUUAGCAUCUGAUUUAGUGAAAUUAAAAUUAACAUGACAGAGAUGACAACUGAGUAUGUGGCAGGGACACAUGCUGUUGUGGGAAGCUCCUGCAGUGGGGCACAUCAGUAGUUUUCAAGUUGGGAAAGCAGCUCUGCUGAGAGGGGAGGGCUGGUUUAUAGUGAGAUCAGGUUCCUGUUAUAAUGACGAGUCACAGCUCCCGGCAGCACUAGAGGGUGCUGGAGGAACGACUGCAACAUUAACAACUCUGUGUUGGAAAUCCAGAAUCCCAGGAAAGUCGAGUUGUGGUGCCCCUUAGAGGUCUCAGCUCCAACCCAGCCUUGCCAUAAACAGCACACUCGUGUUCUCCUGCUGGAUCCACUGCAGUCAAAGGGAAGGCAGUCACCUGGAGGGACUCUAUUGUGUGACACACUCUGGUUCCUUAGGACUGGUCAACAGGUGAUGGCAUCUUGUGUGUGACGCUGUGAAAGCAUCAAUGGGUCACCAAAAGGAAAAAAUACAACGAGAAUGAAACUGUAAAUGCUCAUCUCAGUAAGUGUUACCACCUGUAGCAGUGAUCCUGACUGGAAGGCCAUUGGACAUCAAGGAGUUAGUGAUCCAGGGUGCACUUAACUUGAGCUGGGGUGCAGCUCGACCUUUGGGCUUGUGUUGUGGUGCACAAACCCCUUGGCCACAGGAUGAACUCAGCCAGCUCAUUGCAACAGAGCAGCCUGCAGGCAGCUCCCACCUAAUUCCAGGAGUUAAGCUACCUGCCUGGCAUUAGGGAAUGCAGCAGGGGGUUCUUUCCUGAACAUGCCUUGUUUGAUAGUGGGAAUGACCAACAGAGGGCCAGAGUGUUUGUCUCUCCUGUGGUAGAAUCUUCAUGACCGGAAGGGGAGAAUCUCUUCCAUGGAGGGGGUUUGCCUGGCACGGACCAGAGGCCAGUUUGAUGCUACACCCCCAGGGGUUCCUACCAUCUGAAGGGAUCUGAAAUUAUCUAUACUAUGCUCUCUUUAGAGUGUUAGACCUUCAAAAUAGCAUUUUAAAUGAUAAAUUCUUUCUUACUGAGAUCAUAAUGGAUCAACACAUUCUGGUGCAAGACAUUAUAAUAAAAGUACUUUAGCCAAUAUUUUUGUUUUAAAAUAAAUGUAAAUAUUGUAAUAAUUUUUUCAAAGAAGUUUUGGUUUGAGGCUUUUCUAAGUUGAGGGACUAGGCAUAUGGUGGGAAUGAGGAGAGGUAGACCUUAUAAAUGGAAAUUUGAAUCUUGAUAGUGAUUCUGAAGUUGGCCUUUAAAAUAAUUUCAUCUCUUUGUAUGCUUUGGUCUGUGAUAAAUUGUGAAACACUACGUAGUAUACUUUCAGUUUCAUUUUAAAUAGCUAAUUUUGAAUGUACUCUUUUCUUUUGAAGGUUACAAGAAUAUUUAAUAUUACAGAGUUCUUGGUUUUUAAAGAGUGACUGUUAGCAAGAAAGGAUACAGUUUGAGAGGAGUGGGAAUAAAAUGAGCCUCGAUCUUAUUUACCUCAAGCAGCUUCUGAAUCUCCAGAGUGUCCUGUUCCAUGAGGUAUGUGAAGAUAUUUUUUUUCUUACCACUAGCAAAGGGAGACAAGCUUUGUUCAGCUGGGGAAGGUAUGUACUGCAAUAGUAACAAAAAGAUUCUGGAAUAAAAGGAGAGACUCUGAGUCUUUUAGAGACUUAGUGUCUGUACUGUAGCAGAUGUUCACAGCCUUUCCUCUGAUAUAAAUGACUUGUAACGAUGCAUUGUGGUGUGCAAACAGUGUUACUUUGAACCUGCUAUAUAAGGUGUUGUUUCAUUUGAAUAAAAGGAUUUGGCUCUGAACCCCCAACAAGGUAGCAGGGUCCAUGUAAUUUAUUCAUGUAUUAUAUUAAUAUGCCACAGGUAUGUACCCUUUACUAUUUACAGAUCUCCUCUGACAUAAACAAUGCCAACAAGACUCUAGUUUAUAAGUCUAUUCAAGUUGAGGUAAAACUCAUUUCCCAAAUUAUUUCCAAGCGCUGAGUCCAGAUGCCUGUUGGUAAAGUUUGGACUUUUCUCUUGCAGCAGCUGCAGAGUGGAUUUUUUUGAACAGUUGUAUUGAGUUUCAUAGCAAGGAAAACUGUUUUGUUGACAAGUGGUUGUUACCAUGAUCUCUACUGAAAGUAAGAUGUCGGAAGAGUGAGUCCAAAUGUAUUUCAGAGUUGUGGGGUAUCUUUUUAGGCCCAAUGCUUUUAGCAUUCUGAGUACAUGCUGCUGCUUUAAACAGGCUAAAACUAAUAUAAACAAACUGAACUGAGGGCUUGUAGCUGUUAGAAAUAAGUCAGUCAUAAUGAAAUAGCUUUGUAUUUUAAAGCCUAAUGAACUGACAAGUGUAAAUUAACAGGAGAAUAUCUCCUAGCUUACAUGCAAGUAAAAGGUUGUGUGAAGUGUUGUUUAGUCAUGACACCCUCCUGAUUCUCUCCUGCCUAACCCAGGCAUGGCUGUUCAGUUGUAGGGCUGCCCAUUUCACAUUCUUAAUCCAUAGGCACUAAUUCUAACUGAAGGAUCUUAUAGGAAGUGGUAUGCACAUCCAGUAUAUCUUUUACAUACCCUUUCCCCAAAGUUUACUAGAACUUGGUAGCUGAUGGAGCAAAGAUUGUCUUCGGGUUUAGGUUCGUGUUGCCUUUAGCAGUUGUUGCUAUCAUUCAUGUUGCUAAUGUUUUGUAGCUUUUAUUAGGACAUUUUUUCUGGAGGCUGCAUGUUCCAUUGGCACAGUGUAUUCCUGAUCCACACAGUGGACUUGGAGGGCACUGACAGAGUAAGAGUUCAUAGGGAUAAACAGCUGAUUUCAUGGCUUAGAAGGAAGGUGGUGUUCCAAGGAACUAAUAAGGGUAGCACCAUAUUUUUGCAAGCAAGUUGCAAUGUCUUUGCUGUCUUCAAAUAAUGCCAGAUCUCAAUGAAAGAUCCCAGCACAAGUAGCUGCAUGAACUUCUGGACUUAAUUCAUGAUAUCCUUGAAAUGUAUUCUUGCAGAAAGAACCUGAUGUUGUUCACCUCAAACCAUGCUUGAGGUCCAUCUAGACCAGAACACUGUAAUACACCCCUACUUUUAGAAGUCACUAAAGUGGUGGAGUUUACCAGGUGUUUGAUACAGUUUAUUAGUUAAAUGGAGGUGAGGGAAAACACGGUGUGGGAUGGAAGCAUUAAUUUGGGUUACCUUGGUUACCUUGGUGUUCAUGAACACUAAGUCUGCCUCCUGUUCCAAAUUAUACUUAAAUCUCAUUUUUCUCUCUGUUGGACUAAAAUGUCUUGUUUUUAUGAAUAAACACCUUGGGUUGUACUAUAUUAGAACAUCUGGGUAAGUUUAUGCCAAUUGAAAUUCUUUAGACAUUGUGGUGAAAGUAAUCUGAUUUACCUGUUUUUCCAUACUUGUUAUUCCUGUGAGAGAGGAUCUUCCUGAGAUACCUUUCCUCUAAAUUCUUUGCCCAGAAAAAAAUAUCUGGUUGGAAUUAUUUGCUUGUUUUUCUUGGUUCCGUUUCAUUUUCAUUUCAAUGCUGUCUCUUACAGGUUUAUGCAACUUUGUGGAAGAAACUGAAGCAUAAGCCAAAAUAAAAUGGAAUAAAUAUGAAAGUUCUGUGACAAACUCCUCUGUUUGAUAUGGACUGAAGUCAACAAAAAUAUUUUUCUCUGCAAUAUACUAUCUACACUUCAAUUGUAAACUGGGCUAUUUGAUGCCUUGGAAGUCCAAAGGAAAUAAAUAUGUUUUAUGUUUAUUUUGUCACACUUUAGAUUACCCAGACAUUCAGUACAGAGCCUCCUUUGACCCAGGAUGUCCUUUGGUCAAAAACACAGUCACCUGAAACUAAGUUGGAAUAGUCUUGAAACAAAAUCAUAAAAGCUUUAAUUUUCUUUCUUAUUUGUGGAUUCAUAUAUAAUAAUAAUUUUGCUUCAUAACUUCAGACUGAAAAAUAGCUUUUAGUAUCUAUGAAGCUUUUCCUUCAAAUACAUUUAAUGUUUUACAGCAGAUUCCUAAGAGGCAUGCUAAUGUUAGGUACAGAGGGAUGAGAAAGGACCUCCUCUUCUUGUGGACAGGACAAAAAAUUUGUCUUGAAUCAAUUAGUUUUUUGUGUGUCUGUAAUUUUGAAAGCUAGAGGGCGCUGAGUUUUCCAGCAGCAAAGGAAACAAUGCAUAAAAAAAUAAAGGGGGGAUUCAAGACAGCGAAGCAAGAUGGUAUGAAGAUAGAAAUAUUUACAGUCUUGACAAUAUUGAAAAGGCAAGAGAUGAAUGGAGCAUAUGGUUUGGGGGUUUUGUUUGGGUUUUUUGGGUUUUGUUUUUGUGGUUUUUUCUUUUGGAGGUGGGGGAGUGUGUUUGGUUUUGUUUUGGUUUUCUGUCUUGGUUGGCUUUAGAAGUCCUGAUUUCUGUUCAAACUGGUAAAGGUAUGGAGUUGCUAAAGCAGAGAACCCCAGUGGGAUAGAUGCCGGUUUAACUUCUCUGCAAGUGUCAAGAGUGUGUGACCCCUUGGCAGCUGCCCUGAGUCCUGGCAGCAGGCUGAGGGAGAAGCAGCAGAGGAACAAUUUGAUCAGUUUUUCCACUGAGCUAACUGUUGAGCACCUUAUGUUACACACUGGUGUUUAAUAAAUUAGCUCUCAGAAUGUGAGUGUGGUGAAAUUACAAUUUAUGUACAGCAAUAGGAUGGUUAAAUAUACAUCAUGUAGAUACUGAUAGCUGCUCAAUAAAUAGUCACCAUAGCAGGUGCUAAAGGACAUCCCUGUGGUUGAGCUUUAGGAAAAGUACUUUUGUGGUAUAUAUAAGGGAAUCUGCAUCAGAUCAUACUGUUCAGUGUUUCCAUUGGUUCACUUUAUCUACUGACAUGGUUUCAAAAUCCCUUUCUCUGCUCUCUUUGUGCCAGCUCCUGGCUGUGGAUUCAGGGGUCAGCUCAGAUUGAAUGAGUUUACAUGAAGUCAGAUCCUAAGCCAUCCUCCCCACACUCUGGAAGGUGCUUUGGCAUAGAGAAGAGGAGUGGCUGGAGCCUAAUGAGUCAUACCCAGCUGUUAACUCUUUCGACUUCACUGUUCAGCAGUCAGCAGUGUGAAUUGUGAUGCACGGCUGGGGCUGAUAGCAGAGAUGACGCCAUCAAAGGUGGGGAUGGGAGUAACUGGAAUACUCUAAACUGGGUUUACACCUGCAGGAUAACAGCAGUAAUGGUAGAAUAAUGGGUUCAGGAGACAAAUUGAAAACAAAAGUAAUUUGUAUGUUGGAAACUUCAGACUAGUUCAGGUGUAAAGGCAGUUUUAUGGGAUGUGCUUGUAAGCAAACAUAGAGAAGAGAAAGUACAGAACCUUCAGGAGGAGCAGCACAGUAUCCUGCCCAGCCAUCCUCAUUGUUGCUUUUUGUGAUGUUGCACUGCUCUCUUCACUAACCUUUGCUGCUCACAGACUCCAUGUAUGAGCACCAAAUAUCUUACUUUUUGUAGAGAGGUUUGUGAUUUUCCAGCAAAAUGCUAUUAACACAAAUAUUUUGCAUUCUUGCUUCCAUCUGGGUUUUGUCAGUGGUGGGAUUAUUUUCUCUUAAUCCACUCUGCUGCUUUUUAAAAAUAUAGCAUUUUCAAAAGAACGAGUAAGUAUUAGAUACCUAAAAGAACACCUUUGUUUUGCAUUCCUGAAAUACUUAUUCAAAAUAAAUGAAUAUAGAUGAAUAAAUGAAAAUGUGUCUAAUCUGGCAUUCAGGAAUUAUCUGUUUAGCUAAUAUUUAAAUUAUUCUUGGUACAAAACAUGUGCAUGUCACUAUUUUCAAUCACACUAUACAUAGGCUGAGUGAUUCUAAGUCACCUACAGAGACCAGUUCUGUCUAUCUGGACAGUGGGAAAAUACCAGUAUAGGUUUGAACUAUACCUGACACCUGCUGUUGGCCAUGGUUGGUGACAGGAUAACUGGUCCAUCAUUGUGUUUUUGAAGUAAGAUUAAAAAUAAGUUUUGUUUCUUCA